rnacentral:rRNA from 1 species
AGGAAAUAAGUGAGGGGGAGGAAAUCCCGGGGCUCAAGCCGGGAAACGGGCUUUGAUACUGGGGGUCUCGAGUUCGAGGGAGGCCAGUGGAAUUCCGAGUGUAGAGGUGAAAUUCGUAGAUAUUCGGAGGAACACCAGUGGCGAAGGCGGCUCACUGGCUCGAUACUGACGCUGAGGUGCGAAAGCGUGGGGAGCAAACAGGAUUAGAUACCUGGUAGUCCACGCCGUAAACUAUGAGAGCUAGCCGUCGGGAGUUUACUGUUCGGGGGGCGCAGCUAACGCAUUAGGUUCUCCCGCCUGGGGGGUACGGUCCCAAGAUUUAAAACUCAAAGGAUUUGACGGGGGGCCCCCCCCAAGGGGGGGAGCAUGUGGGUUUAAUUCGAGCAACCCGGAAAACCUUAACAGCCCUUUGAAAUUGGGUCGGGCUUCCAAAAAUGAAGCCUUUCAUUUGGGCUGGGCCCCAAAAAAGGGCUGCAUGGGUGUCCACAGCCUCGUGUCGGGAGAUGUUGGGUUAAUCCCCGCAACGGCGCAACCUUCGCCUUUUGUUGCCAGCUUCAGUUGGCCCUCUAGGGGCUGCCCGGGAAAAACCCGGAGGAGGUGGGAUGACGCAAGUCCUCGUGGCCCUUACGGGUGGCUAACACGUGCAAAAUGGUGGUGCAAGGGGCAGCAGGCCCGAGGCCAGUAAUUUUCAAAAGCAUCUCUUUCGAAUGGCACUCUGCACCUCGGUGCCAUGAAUGUGGAACCCGUAAGUAUCGAGAUUCACAUCCGGGGGAAAACUUUCCGGGCCUUUGACACACAGCGGUCACC